CAUCCUAGUGACAUGUCACUUGUAUCCUAAUCUAUUCCUAAGGUUCAAAUGGGAUUUUUCCCUCGAUAUCACAUUUGUCGUCUUCCAUGGAAUAUCAGAACCGAUACUCGGUAGCAAUUCAUAUUUAUCAAGUAGUAAACAUAAUUUGCAUAUUACUCAACAUUAACCACAAAGCAUAAUAUUUCACGAUUAAAAAUUAGCGUAUCAUAUAAUUAACAUCAAUAACUUAAAAAUAACAAUUAUGCUACAUUAUUUACACAUGAACUUACCUUGGUACCAAA
rnacentral:lncRNA from 1 species